CUGAAAUUUUCGCGAAAUAUUUUUACCCGCCCCCUCUUCCUUUAGCUUCUGCACCAAUUUUAUUUUUUUUAUUAUCCCACCCCCUCUUCCUCCCAUUCUCUCUUUCUCAAUCCAUCCUUUUGCCCUGAUUCUCUCUCUCUCAACUAGUGUUCUCCCCUGGCUUCCUUCUUUUCGUUCUUUUCUUUUUUUCCACCGAGAGACCGAGAGAGGGAGAUCGGAGAGGGAGGCCGAGAGAGCUGAAGAGAGAGCUAGAGAGAACCUGAGAUAGACGCGAGGUGGGCUAGCCACCGUUGGGGGUGGACAACGACGCCGGAGGCCGGUGGGUCACGGCCCGAUGCCGGUAAAGCCAGGGGACAUCUUUUUCCGGCAUUUUCUCGGCACCCAAACAUGGAGAAAUUCAUUUUUCGAUGCAAAACCAUGUCUUUUACAAAAUCCCAGCUGGGUUAUUUGACAACAAAGGUUCCUCGUCCUUCAGCAACUGAUCUCACUUCUAGACCAUGGUGUGCAAUUAUUAUCAUCUCUAAUGAUGGAAAUCAGCAACUGUUAGAGACAAAAAGGAUUCUCCAAGUUGCGUGAUUGUGGAAGACCUCCAGUUCCUAGAAAAGAUCCAGGAGACAAGCCAGAAGAGGAACCUUUGUUGUCAAAUCACCCUUAUGUUGAUAAGGUAUGUUUCUGACAAGGAAUUAUUUUCUGAGAAGUCUAGCUAUUAGAUUUCAAUGUUUUGAACUAUGUGUUUGCAAUUAAUACGAAGGGGCAAGUGCAUUUACAUAG